UGGGGGAUAACUCGAGGAAACUUGAGCUAAUACCGCAUACGACCUCGGUUGCAGGACCUGAGGGGAAAGUCGGCCAAUGCUUGCAAGCUGACGCAUAGGAGGGACCCGCGCCCGAUUAGCUAGUUGGUAGGGUAAUGGCCUACCAGGCGACGAUCGGUAGCUGGCCUGAGAGGGUGAUCAGCCACACUGGAACGAGACACGGUCCAGACUCCUACGGGAGGCAGCAGUGGGGAAUAUUGGACAUGGGCGAAAGCCUGAUCCAGCAACGCCGCGUGGGGGACGAAGGCCUUCGGUCGUAAACCCCUGUCAGUGGGGACGAACGGUGAUCGGCUAAUACCCGUUACCUUGACGGUACCCGCAGAGGAAGCCCCGUCUAACUCCGUGCCAGCGCCGCGGUAAU
rnacentral:rRNA from 1 species